UGCCCGAUGGUGUAACGGUAGCACGACAGAUUCUGAUUCUGUUUGUCGGGGUUCAAAUCCCUGUCGGGCAACCA
rnacentral:tRNA from 1 species